ensembl:lncRNA
CGUCAUUCUGAUCCAGAAAAUUGAUCUAGACACCAGUCAGUUAGCCCAGGCCAAGCUUCACAAUAAUGUGUUUGUUUGUCUCCACACACCUGGGUCACCUGCCUCUCAGACUCCCUCACCUGACCCUGAUGUGUCAUCUAAGGCAGCUUUCAGUGAUGGAUUACCAGAAACCUCUGACCAUAGGGGGGUCUCAACCUCGGGUGGCCUGAAGGUGAAGCCCCUGGACAUGAGAUCUGUGGUCGAAUCUUUUCAAGGAGUCUGGGUCCUCCACGCAUUUACUGUUUCAGCGGUGCAUAGAAAGGAAAGCUGCAGAUGGAUGAAUGAUUGGACCCUACACUCUUCCAUUAGUGGAUCAACAUAACCUGGAGAAGAAUCAAUGUGUUUUUAUGCCAUUUUUCUCAUUUUGGUUGAGAAUAAUCAUUUGUAUUCUCGUUUGUAGAACAAUUUUUGGCCACAUAAGAAUGAUUUCACUUUUGAAGUAUGUUUAUUUUUUAUUUUAUAACACAUUUGGAACAUUUUGAUAAUUGAAAAAGAAUAUUACACAGAACAACAAUAGAAGAAUGUCAACAUCCAUUCUGUUGACAUUUUCCUACUCGUUUUCACUACUUCUUGUAUUUAUUGCGACUCUAUCUCUCCAAGUUUGUGCACUUCAUCUCCUCUUGUAUGAUAUCAGUGCUAAAGAGGUUGGGGUAGUAAUACAGACAUCACAAUUUCUUCAAAAGUGUAAAUUUUCAAUGGAAUGAUAUCAAAAACAUGUUUCUG